rnacentral:misc_RNA from 1 species
GAAACCGUACAGAAAUUUUGAUUUAAUUUUGAAUUCUAAACAGGCCCUAAACCAAAAUCAAAACUAGAAUCGCAUACCCUACCUACCAGGUUUUGAGCUUUGGCAGCUUGUACAACAUCCUCCAAGCCAAUUAGUUGCCACUCAAAGUUGAUGAUUUUGAAGAUAUGGUACUUUACAACAUCCUCUACGACGCAACUAGAGACACGAAGACAGGGACAGAGAUGUCGGUUCUUCUUGGGUUGAAGGGUUGAGGAAAAUGAAGAACAAUCUCUCAUUUGGGACUAUGUACAUCCUUUGAUGGGGUGAAGAACAUUAACGCCAAGGUGGUCAUAGAGGUGGAAGAUCUUUGAGGUAGUCUCACCCGCAAUUUCAAGCAUUUGAACCUCGAUUUUAAUCUCAAAGACGAAGGUAUCAGAAAACGCAAACUUAAAAUCGAAGCUUGGUUUGGCUUCAGGGAGACCAGUGCUGCCAUCGGCACCGCCCUUUGCAACGUUGAGAAUCUCAUCACCAGUGUUUGGAAAUUAUGCGGAGCAAUUUCUGAUGGGCUGGGCUUGCUGAUGCAAACUAGAUUCCAACGAUGGCUCAUUGUAUUGAUUAUAUGUUAAGCUGUAUGGAUUUGAUUUGUUGAUAAAACUGUAGUUUUUGCUUCUAAGGUUUAGGGAUGGUUGUAGCAUCUGGUCGCAGUACCAUUUCAAUAUCAAAUUUUCAACUUUUAAAUUCACAUGCUCUGAAACUUGAAGAAAUCUGGAGAUGCAUAAAUUGAAGAGUCAACUUGGAA